UACAUAGGGGGCAAGCGUUGUUCGGAAUUACUGGGCGUAAAGGGCGCGUAGGCGGCCCUCUAAGUCAGACGUGAAAUCCCUCGGCUCAACCGGGGAACUGCGUCUGAGACUGGAAGGCUUGAAUACGGGAGAGGGAUGUGGAAUUCCAGGUGUAGCGGUGAAAUGCGUAGAUAUCUGGAGGAACACCGGUGGCGAAGGCGGCGCACUGGGGCUUUACUGACGCUGAGGAGCGAAAGCGAGGGGAGCAAACGGG
rnacentral:rRNA from 1 species